CCUACGGGCGGCAGCAGUGAGGAAUAUUGGUCAAUGGACGAGAGUCUGAACCAGCCAAGUAGCGUGAAGGAUGACUGCCCUAUGGGUUGUAAACUUCUUUUAUAUGGGAAUAAAAUGUUCCACGUGUGGGAUUUUGUAUGUACCAUAUGAAUAAGGAUCGGCUAACUCCGUGCCAGCAGCCGCGGUAAUACGGAGGAUCCGAGCGUUAUCCGGAUUUAUUGGGUUUAAAGGGAGCGUAGGUGGAUUGUUAAGUCAGUUGUGAAAGUUUGCGGCUCAACCGUAAAAUUGCAGUUGAAACUGGCAGUCUUGAGUACAGUAGAGGUGGGCGGAAUUCGUGGUGUAGCGGUGAAAUGCUUAGAUAUCACGAAGAACUCCGAUUGCGAAGGCAGCUCACUGGACUGCAACUGACACUGAGGCUCGAAAGCGUGGGGAGCAAACAGGAUUAGAUACCCUUGUAGUC
rnacentral:rRNA from 1 species